rnacentral:rRNA from 1 species
UACGUAGGUGGCAAGCGUUGUCCGGAUUUACUGGGCGUAAAGGAUGCGUAGGCGGACAUUUAAGUCAGAUGUGAAAUACCCGAGCUUAACUUGGGUGCUGCAUUUGAAACUGUGUGUCUAGAGUGCAGGAGAGGUAAGUGGAAUUCCUAGUGUAGCGGUGAAAUGCGUAGAGAUUAGGAAGAACACCAGUGGCGAAGGCGACUUACUGGACUGUAACUGACGCUGAGGCAUGAAAGCGUGGGGAGCAAACAGG